AAGCGUGCGCAGGCGGUUUUGUAAGUCUGUCGUGAAAUCCCCGGGCUCAACCUGGGAAUGGCGAUGGAGACUGCAAGGCUAGAGUUUGGCAGGAGGGGGUAGAAUUCCACGUGUAGCAGUGAAAUGCGUAGAGAUGUGGAGGAACACCGAUGGCGAAGGCAGCCCCCUGGGUCAAAACUGACGCUCAUGCACGAAAGCGUGGGGAGGCAAACAGGAUUAGAUACCCUAGU
rnacentral:rRNA from 1 species